UUGCAACCAUGUCAUGUUGAAACACUAGUUCUUGUACAAUCACUGAAGUUAAGUAACAUUAGGCUUAGUCAGUACCUAGAUGGGUGAUUGCUUGGGAAUACCAGGUACUGUAAG